UACGUAGGGGGCAAGCGUUGUCCGGAUUUAUUGGGCGUAAAGAGCGUGUAGGCGGCCAGGUAGGUCUGCUGUGAAAACUCGAGGCUCAACCUCGAGAUGUCGGCGGAAACCAUCUGGCUAGAGUCCGGAAGAGGAAAGUGGAAUUCCCGGUGUAGCGGUGAAAUGCGCAGAUAUCGGGAAGAACACCCGUGGCGAAGGCGGCUAUCUGGACGGUUUCUGACGCUAAGACGCGAAAGCGUGGGGAGCAAACAGG
rnacentral:rRNA from 1 species